rnacentral:rRNA from 1 species
GACGAACCGAGCGAACGUUAUUCGGAAUCACUGGGCUUAAAGGGUGCGUAGGCGGGCGAGUAAGUCAGGGGUGAAAUCCCACGGCCCAACCGUGGAAGUGCCUCUGAUACUGCGAGUCUAGAGGGGGACAGGGGCAUGCGGAACUUCCGGUGGAGCGGUGAAAUGCGUAGAUAUCGGAAGGAACACCGGUGGCGAAAGCGGCGUGCUGGAUCCCUACUGACGCUGAGGCACGAAAGCCAGGGGAGCAAACGGG